rnacentral:lncRNA from 1 species
GCGCUCUCCAGCCUCAACAAGCACGUGGAGGCCGUGGCUUACUACAAGAAGGCUCUGGAGCUGGACCCCGACAACGAGACAUACAAGUCCAACCUCAAGAUAGCGGAGCUGAAGCUGCGGGAGGCCCCCAGCCCCACGGGAGGCGUGGGCAGCUUCGACAUCGCCGGCCUGCUGAACAACCCUGGCUUCAUGAGCAUGGCUUCGAACCUAAUGAACAAUCCCCAGAUUCAGCAGCUCAUGUCCGGCAUGAUUUCGGGUGGCAACAACCCCUUGGGAACUCCCGGCACCAGCCCCUCGCAGAACGACCUGGCCAGCCUCAUCCAGGCGGGCCAGCAGUUUGCCCAGCAGAUGCAGCAGCAGAACCCAGAGUUGAUAGAGCAGCUCAGGAGCCAGAUCCGGAGUCGGACGCCCAGCGCCAGCAACGACGACCAGCAGGAGUGACGCUGCCUGCUCCCGGUGUGACCGCGUCCUUCCCUGGCCGACCCGAAGGAAGCCUUCUGGUUGUCUGCCACUUCCUCCUGUUGGACUGCCUGAGAGAGGGGAAGAGAGAGACCUCGGACCUGCAUGUCAAGAUGGAUUUUCCCCUUUUAUCUCUGCCCUCCUCCACUCCCUUUUUGUAACUCCCUUACAGCCCCCAGACCCUUCUUGAAACGAGAGCCAGCAAGCUGAGCACAGACCAGCAGCGACCUCCCUUCCAGCCCCCAGAAAGCUCGGUCACUUGAGUGUUUUCUAGAAUCCUGGGGUGCUCCCGGGCCGCUCUCAGAGAAGUGGCAGGUUUCACGUUCAGCCGUGUGGCGGAUCGUGUGGCUUCCAAAGCCUUUUACAGCCCCCGCCCCCCAUCCCGUGGUCUGUCUGCAGGAACUCUCCCGUCUGUGAGAAGCCUCUUUCCGAGUCGACCUCCCGGCCACCCCGGCCCUGUGCCUGCUCGGAAGAGCUCACUGCCAGCUGCGGCCUGGGCACCGCGGGCCAUGUGUGUUUGCAUGAGGAACUCUUUAGUGGCAGACACCUAAGAGACGGCUGCGGUCACCCCACGCCUCCGCGGCUCAGGAGCCGUCCUGGGUGCAUAGGACCAGUUUCUGUGACUUUUCUCCAGUUGGGCAUGUUGACAGACAUGUUUCCCCUCCUCCCACCCUCAUUUUCUGGUCCUCGCGACUGAGAGCCAGGGGCGACAUCAUGACCUUCUGUCCCGGCCGCCUUAGCCCCGGGCACAGGGAAGGCAGCUGGGCCGUUUCUGUCUGUGUCCCAUCCUGCUGUCCUUCUGUCCUGGAUGUUUCAUGGGCCCGGGGCCCCCCAGGGAAGCUUACCCCUCCUGUGCUGGGUGGAGGCCACGGGACACCUCAGGUGCCACCCACCUUGGCCCUAAAACAGCCACCAGGAAAGCAGCCGGAGAGCCGGACAGCAGGCAGCCUGUCUGGGUUCCUGAGGCCUGGGGGUGGCAGACGAGCCCACGGCGCCGUGGUCCCAGCAGCAGGGUUGUCAGUCGGAGCAUCCUGGGGCUCCCUGGCUCCUGGCCGUCUGUGAGGUAGGCGCAGUACCGUGUAUCGUAGGUAGCAGUAGGAACGGGGGCCGCCGCGGCCCUGCAGCCGCUCAUGGCGGUGAGGUGUGUGCCAAGCCCACCCGGGGUGCAGGGCGUGACGUGUGGGGAAUAAAUAGGCGUU